CAGCAGCCGCGGGAAUACGUAGGGUGCGAGCGUUAAUCGGAAUUACUGGGCGUAAAGGGCUCGCAGGCGGUUUCUUAAGUCUGAUGUGAAAGCCCCCGGCUCAACCGGGGAGGGUCAUUGGAAACUGGGAAACUUGAGUGCAGAAGAGGAGAGUGGAAUUCCACGUGUAGCGGUGAAAUGCGUAGAGAUCGGGAGGAACAUCAGUGGCGAAGGCGGCCAUCUGGGACAACACUGACGCUGAAGCACGAAAGCGUGGGGAGCAAACAGGAUUAGAUACCCCUGUAGUCCCUGUCUCUUAUAC
rnacentral:rRNA from 1 species